rnacentral:rRNA from 2 species
CAAUGGACGCAAGUCUGAUGGAGCAACGCCGCGUGAGUGAAGAAGGCUUUCGGGUCGUAAAACUCUGUUGUUGGAGAAGAAUGGUCGGCAGAGUAACUGUUGUCGGCGUGACGGUAUCCAACCAGAAAGCCACGGCUAACUACGUGCCAGCAGCCGCGGUAAUACGUAGGUGGCAAGCGUUAUCCGGAUUUAUUGGGCGUAAAGCGAGCGCAGGCGGUUUUUUAAGUCUGAUGUGAAAGCCCUCGGCUUAACCGAGGAAGCGCAUCGGAAACUGGGAAACUUGAGUGCAGAAGAGGACAGUGGAACUCCAUGUGUAGCGGUGAAAUGCGUAGAUAUAUGGAAGAACACCAGUGGCGAAGGCGGCUGUCUGGUCUGUAACUGACGCUGAGGCUCGAAAGCAUGGGUAGCGAACAGGAUUAGAUACCCUGGUAGUCCAUGCCGUAAACGAUGAAUGCUAGGUGUUGGAGGGUUUCCGCCCUUCAGUGCCGCAGCUAACGCAUUAAGCAUUCCGCCUGGGGAGUACGACCGCAAGGUUGAAACUCAAAGGAAUUGACGGGGGCCCGCACAAGCGGUGGAGCAUGUGGUUUAAUU